GAUUCCCUAACUCUCCCAAAAAAGAAUCAGGAAAAACAAGAAGGUCUCCACAACCGUACUCCCCGCCGCCGCGCCCUAGUAGCCGUCCAGGCUCGCCGCGAGAGGCGUCCGUCAUCGCGCUAGCGCCGGAAGCAGACGAGGCGGACCGUGUGCCUCCACUUUAUACGCGCCUCCGCCGGCGACCGUGGAGAUCGGGAAGCCUUAUCACAGCUCCGACAGCGACGGCGACCGUGCGCUCCACUGAAACCUUAGGCGUUGAUUCCCAGUCUCCCACUUCCUGUCAGUACACGAUCCUCUCCCACCGAUCACCUCCAGUCAGUCUACCACCGCCUCCCAGUCCCAUCCCACCCAUGGACGGGAGCCUCGCUUCGUCCGAUCCCGGCCCGUCCUUCGCCAAGCCGCCUGGCAGCUCGGGGGACUCGGGGCCGUGCGCAUCCAGAAGCUCGGGCCCUGGUCCCGAGGUGGAGGUCCGAGCUCUCGUAUCGAUGGCCGGCGGACUCUACCCGUUGGCUCGGGCGGAGGCACUGCGUGGCCUCGCUGCGGUCGUCGAGAAGGUGGGGACCAGUGGUGGGGCCGUGGAAUGUUGCUACGGCUGCGCGGUGGAGUUGCUGAGGGACGAGGACCAGAGUAUCAGGUUGGCCGCCGUGCGAUUGAUUGGUCUAUGUGCGGAGAAGUUUGCUGGACGAGAGGAAGUGAGUGGCAUUGGCAAUGGUGACCAAAUGGACCUUAUUUUUCUACAGCUUAGCUCCACAGCUAGGGAUAUGUGUAUGCAAGUGAGAAUCGAAGCAUUCAAUGGACUUGCUAAAAUGCAGAGAGUAUCCGAGGGUGUUUUGCUUCAGUCAUUGUCUAAGAAGGUCAUAAGGACUGACACUGGGAGUGGCUCUAUCUGCAAAGCGAACAAACUACCCCCUAAACUAAUAUUUCCUUGUGCUGCUGGCAUUUUUGCACAUGGGAUUGAAGAUGAGUUUUAUCAGGUUCGAAUAGCUGCCUGUAAAACAUUGGGAGCACUUGCAAAGUUUUCAGGCCAAUAUGCGCAGAAGGCCUUGGACUUGUUGAUGGACAUGAUGAACGAUGACACAGAAGCAGUUAGAUUGCAGACUUUGCAGACACUAUUUAAUAUGGCAACAUAUGGAUAUUUGAGUGUGCAGGAGAAGCACAUGCAUAUGUUCCUUGCCACAUUGAUUGAUGCGAAUGCCAUAGUGCGAAAUGCAGCACGCAAGAUCCUAGGGUUAGUGAAUCUGCCUAAACUUCAAAUGUUUAGAUCUGCACUUGAUGGUCUCAUUACAAGUUUGGAGAAAAAUCCGGAGGAACAAGAUAUAUACAGCAUUCUGUUUUCCAUUGGGAAGAAUCAUGGGAGCUUUUCAGCCAAUGUAGCUAAACAUUUAGCCAAAGAGAUCAGUACAGCACCCAAUGGAGAGCUAAUCUUGGAUAAACAUAGGAUCCAGGCAUUGUUAAUAGUGUCUAUCUCGGCACCUGUUUCUGCUGAUAAACACAAGAAAUUAGAUAUACCUUCGGUUAUAUUUUCACAUGCAAUUCCCUUACUUGGGAGGAUCUCAUCUGCAUUAGGAGAAGAUAUUAUAAAAGACUUAUCCUACUUGUGUCAUCCAAGUGGGAUGCCUUUUGCAGAGAAAGGGUUAAUGUCUGGAGAAGGUGGAAGAUCUGAGUUCUGGAGUGUUGAAACUAUGAGGGGGACUCAUGCUCUGAUAGAAAAAACCAGAAAGGAAACUAAUUGCUCAGAUGAAGUGCUGAUAAUGGGAUCGAUGAGGCUGAUGCUAGAAACAGUUGAAGAAACCUGGGCCAUGAGAGAAUCAUGUGGUAUAGAAGAAAUUCGAACUAUUCUGAGAACAUGCAAAGAAGAAGUCAAGGUAUUUGCUAUUAAGUCUUCUGGGUCAACUGGUGCAUUCUUGAGCUUUCUAUGUGACUAUCUUGAUGCCAUACGAUGCAUUGUUGAAAUACGGCAGUUGAUUCAAUUGGAGAAUUCUUAUGCUAUUGGCCCUACUUCACUUGAUAUUUUGCUAGAGAAGUUAGAUACAUAUGUGAGAAGGAUGAAAUGUUGUUACACUGGAUUGAACAGAGAACUGGAGGUUCAAGUUUUGGAGCUUGUUCUCUUAGCUAAUUUGUUUAGACUCUCAAAGUUUGGAGUAUGUUCAAAAUUAAUGCUGGAUAAGUUGCAUUGGAUAAUCAACCAGUUAGAUGGUCUAUGUGCUGAUGGAUCCUGCGAGUUUUCUGACUUCAGCAACACAGUUAAGCAAACAUUUGAUGCCAAUGUUAUUGACGGUACUCUUGUUGUGGAUAUUUGCAAUUUUCUUAAAAUCUUCCGUCUAAAACCAGCAAAAGAUUUUGGAAUGCUUAAUGCUGCAAGUGCCGUGUUGCAAGUCUUGGGUAAUAAUUCUGAAAAUCCGUUACCAUACAUUUGUGGAUUACCUGUGGGUGUAAGCUUUGACAUAUCUCUAUCAAAUAUCUCUGGUCAUGAUAGAAUCUGGAUCCGCAUGAAUUCUGGUCAGUCAAUCCAACAUGCCUUCUUAGAGUUAUCCUGUUUUGAAGGCAAUGAUGAGGUCAAGAGCUGCUCUACAGUAAUUCCUUUCUAUGCUACUCCAUUGGCGUGUUCAUUUGUUCUGAGGGUAUGUUUGGUAAUUGAAUGCCCAUCUGGAAGUAUCUGCACACACUAUGAAGAACAUGGAGGGCCAAGAGAUAGUGUAGUCCAACUCUGUGAUGAAUUAAAUGUAUACCUUGUUAGUACUGAUACAGAGUGCAAGAAUUAAAUGCUCCAGGCUUUUUAUUCUUCAGCAUUCUCUUUGAUUGAGGUUACAGUUGACUUCUAACAUCAAAGUGUGGUCAGGUCAUAUGAAAAUGACUGGUUUGAUCAUGCAAAAAUACUCCCUCUGAUCCGAAUUUGUUGAUGCAGGCACUUCACAAUAACUCCCUCCCUCCAGCCGGCCGUCGCGUCAAGCUUUUCGGAUCAGAGGGAGUAGUUAAGAAUACUAUUAACGAGAAGUCCCAUGUAAUGCAUUUCAUUAUCAGAUUAAUCUGAAUUCUGCUCUACCAAGAUUUUUGUAGCAGUAGCAGUAAGCAAGAACAAACAGUUCCACUACCAAUUGAAACAUGUUCCUGCUCAAGGUAUGUGUGCAUCCUGCUGCGUAUGUGAUUACUGUUAUGUUGUUGUUAAGAUGUGUAUGAUAUGUGAUCUGAUGUGCUUUUGAUAUACGAAGUGUCUCGUGAGUUUUUUGUCUGUUUAGUUGGGUCAUUUUUCCUAUGAGAAGAAGAAUCUGAUGUACUCCCGUGUCGCUAAAUGAACGACACUUAAUAUGAGACGGAGGGAGUAGUUGGCAUUGGAGCUGUCAUUUGGCCUCUACGGAAUACAUCAAAUGCGGCUUGGCUUGUUCCCGUUUAUUGGUUAUUUUUUCAUUUCUCUGUUUUGUUGGGAAGAUUUUUUAUUUGUCGUUAGCUGGAUUUCUAGGCUAGUUUUAAUUUGCCUUUUUUUUAAUGGCAAGUUUGUUCAUUUCUCUUUGGUAGCAUAUCUGGUACGGAUGCAAGUGGGAUCCCACAUAUAUUCUGGUUUUAGGUCAACCUUCAGCAAGUCAAUUAAGCGGGAUCCUGCUUCGGAUCCCUAAUUUCUGGUCUAGUAUUUUGCUAAGAGAAAAUUGGAAAGAAGAACUAUAUUUUUUUUCUAGAAUACAAGAAGAAGGAACUAUAUGGUCAACAGCUUGUCUGCAGCCUUUCAGCAUGGGGCGUAUUUAUUUCUUUUGUAUGUUCUGAUUUUUUCUGUUUGUUACAUGCUGGUACAACAGUUUGUUAUAUGUCUUUCUCAUACCAUCUCAGAGUGUUAAAUUUGAUGUC